UAGAGUUCGGACGGAAGUGAUGAGAGUGAAAAUACCCAGUGUGGUGGAAGACUUGAAGAAAUCGCAUCAGUCCACCUCGCCAGGACAGUGAAUCCUGCUGGUUCACGAGCAGCGGGUGAAGGGAAAUUUUGUGCUCACAUUGUGCCUCCCGAUGCUCCGUGAACAUCAUUCCCAUCAGAUGCUGUUUCGGGCCAAUUUGGAAGCGAAGAUGAAAGACUUCUGAUUAAUGAGGUGUUGGUAAUGCAAUAAAAUAUCCUCUCAGUUUAUGUUCCAGCUUAAACUCACACAUCUCAUAUAUAACCUAACCAGAACCAUGUUUGCCCCAUGGACAGUGGACUCAUUCUGCCACUGUCCUAUGUCAUUACGUCCCUUCGCUGUGCGGCCUGACCUCUGGGGUUUGAGUGACGUCCUCAGCUCUGUCCCCCAUCCCCUGUCUGUCCUCCCUUCUCUACACCCUGCCUCUUCUUGUCAGCUCGGAUCACGGUCACAGUCCUGCUUGCCUCGGUGAACAUUCAACGCUGUCGGUGAGUUUUGGUAUGGAUCACAUAAAAACCAUCGACCGUUGACUGUGCCCCGGGGUUCGCUCCGACGACGUCAGGAAUGAGCAAAAAAAAAAAAAAAAAUGAACAAAAGGGCAAGGGGGCGCAUGCAAAAUCGAGAGACGAAGACACACAUGCACAAAAGUGACACUCUGUUUCCACUGUACCCAAAGACCAAAGGUCACAAUCAACAUUCAUUGCUGUCGCUGGGUUGGACUGUGUAGAAAAGCUCACUGAACAAUGAGUGCAACUGUGGCCCAGAUCUGCCUGACUCGCGUCUCAGCCAAUCAGCCGACCGGAUGUGAAACACUCUGAUUUCUUUAUUUAUAUACUUCUUGUUUUUCACUUCUAUUUUCUCCUCUCUUCCUCCCUCCCCGGCGCUGGAUAGUCUUCAGGGGAAGAGUGAAAGAGAGAGAGAGGGAGAUAGAGACACAAAUAGACUUCUGGCGGCUUGCUUGUCCUCAUCCUCCUCUCCUCUCCUCUAAUUGGUGGUUAUGUGUGCAGCAAGGGGGAAGGAAGCGGAGUGAAUGUGUAAUCAUUUGGAGUCUCUUCUCCUUUAGAUGUUUCAUCCCUCUCUUUUUUGUUUGUCUAAUUAUAUACCGAGCUCAGUUAACUCUGUGUUAACUGUGCCGGCAAGAAUGAUCGAGUGACAAAGAGAGGGAGGACGAGUGGGGAAAGGGAGAAAAAAAAAGGUGGAAAGAUAAUCGCGCCAGUAAAAUUAUCAUCUAGCUUUAAGUAUAUUCUCAUAUUCUUUGUGGUGUUGCCAGGAUAUAAGCCAUUUUCAAAUGCAGAGAGAAAGUAGAUUGUUUUCGCCUCUCUGACUGAGGUUGUCUCAUUAUCUGUGUUUGAGCUUCAUGAGAGACUGUCUGGUUUCCUGUGUGUGUGUGUGUGUCUGUGUGUGUGUGUGUACGUAUGCCAUGAUAGAAGACCUGUCUGCUGAUCUCAGACUGCAAUAUGUUAUUUUCUUUCUAUACUAAAGCAGCCUGCUCCCUCAUGGGAAAACACAAGUCUAUAACCUUGUCUUCCUGCAGACAGUCUGGGACCAGCCAUGCUGCUGCCAUUCCUCAUUGUAACCCAUCUGUAACUACUCUGACACUGUGUCCUGCAACAUGUAAUGUAAACACACAGUGGAUAUAUAUGUAGGAAUGUUAGAGAAAGUAUGACUGAUUCAGUGAUUAAUCCAAUAAAGUUCAAUCAGAAUCCAUGCA